rnacentral:lncRNA from 1 species
AUCAGUUGUGGCCAAGGUGAUCUGUACUGGCAAAGGAUCACAGCAGGCUACAGCCAAUACGCAUGAUUCGUGCUGCACUAUAUCAUACACUACCAGCGGAUCAACCUUCGAGGCCGGACCUAUACACGUGAUGGAUUCAACUAGACAAGAAAAAGAUGCUACUAGGUGGGGAGCAACAUCACGUGGAUAAACUACCAAAUCAAAGGUAGAAGGCCAUGUGACUCAUUGUGGCACAUACUUCAAGAUCAGAUGGACACUCCGUCUAUUGUUGCAAUAGAGUCGCAACCAUGAAGGAACAC